UACGUAGGGGGCAAGCGUUGUCCGGAAUCAUUGGGCGUAAAGCGCGUGUAGGCGGCUCGAUAAGUCUGCUGUGAAAGUCCAGGGCUCAACCCUGGGAUGCCGGUGGAUACUGUCGAGCUUGAGUCCGGAAGAGGCGAGUGGAAUUCCUGGUGUAGCGGUGAAAUGCGCAGAUAUCAGGAGGAACACCGAUGGCGAAGGCAGCUCGCUGGGACGUGACUGACGCUGAGACGCGAAAGCGUGGGGAGCAAACAGG
rnacentral:rRNA from 1 species